rnacentral:rRNA from 1 species
ACGAAGGGUGCAAGCGUUACUCGGAAUUACUGGGCGUAAAGGGUGCGUAGGCGGCUUGUCGCGUCGUCUGUGAAAUCCCGCGGCUCAACCGCGGGUCUGCAGUCGAUACGGGCAGGCUAGAGUUCGGUAGGGGAGACUGGAAUUCCUGGUGUAGCGGUGAAAUGCGCAGAUAUCAGGAGGAACACCGGUGGCGAAGGCGGGUCUCUGGGCCGAUACUGACGCUGAGGAGCGAAAGCGUGGGGAGCGAACAGGA